CCAAGGAUGUUUUCAUUAAUCAAGAACGAAAGUUAGGGGAUCGAAGACGAUCAGAUACCGUCGUAGUCUUAACCAUAAACGAUGCCGACCAGCGAUUAGGAGACGUUGAAUACAAAACACCACCAUCGGUGCGGCUGUUCUUGGCGUCGGUUUCGGCCGGCGCGGGGAUGGCUUAGCCCGGUGGCACCGGUGAAU
rnacentral:rRNA from 1 species